rnacentral:rRNA from 1 species
CCUACGGGGGGCAGCAGUGAGGAAUAUUGGUCAAUGGACGAGAGUCUGAACCAGCCAAGUAGCGUGAAGGAUGACUGCCCUAUGGGUUGUAAACUUCUUUUAUAUGGGAAUAAAAUGUUCCACGUGUGGGAUUUUGUAUGUACCAUAUGAAUAAGGAUCGGCUAACUCCGUGCCAGCAGCCGCGGUAAUACGGAGGAUCCGAGCGUUAUCCGGAUUUAUUGGGUUUAAAGGGAGCGUAGGGGGAUUGUUAAGUCAGUUGUGAAAGUUUGCGGCUCAACCGUAAAAUUGCAGUUGAAACUGGCAGUCUUGAGUACAGUAGAGGUGGGCGGAAUUCGUGGUGUAGCGGUGAAAUGCUUAGAUAUCACGAAGAACUCCGAUUGCGAAGGCAGUUCACUGGACUGCAACUGACACUGAGGCUCGAAAGUGUGGGUAUCAAACAGGAUUAGAUACCCGUGUAGUC